ensembl:lncRNA
UGGUUAUCACAGGAGUCAGUUGGUUAUCACAGGGGUCAGUUGGUUAUCCCAGGAGUCAGUUGGUUAUCACAGAGGUCAGUUGGUUAUCACAAGAGUCAGUUGGUUAUCCCAGGAGUCAGUUGGUUAUCACAGGAGUCAGUUGGUUAUCCCAGGAGUCAGAGAAAACGUGUCUUUUUUUCCCCUUUGUAUCGUAGAGGCUCCUGUAUGUUCUCAGGUUUGUGCAUGUGGACUUUUUCUCCAAUUCAAAUCGAGAGAGUAAGAAGGUCAUCAUGAAAUAUUUCAUUUCUGUACCACAGCAUUAUAGUGUGUGUUUGCUGCUACUACACCGAAAUUGAUUACUGUUCUGUAACAGCCCACCUCUAAUCCCUUUUAUCCCUCUUUUAUUC